GCCGGGACGGCGGCUGUGACCCUGACCACAGGCUCGAUUUCCUCUCCAGUCUCUGUUCUUUUGCUGACCUGAGAAAACCACAGACUCAGCGGAUUUUGCGGAGAAGUGCCGGGAAGCUUUGCUCAAAAUACCUACUGCAGGUGGAGGCGUGGCAGCUGAGACAGCAGGCACCCGACUCCCUGGAGGCCCAGGAGGCUCAUGGGGCUGCCUCCGAGGUCAGCGGCGGCCCAGGCCUCCCCAGCACCCUCCUUCCGGCAGGCGCCAGGGUGGAGGCCACCAACCAAUGUGACUCAGCCCAGCUCCCUGGUCCCUGCCUGGUCUCCUGGCCUUUACCAAGCACCCGUGGGUCUCACGUGCCUGGACGCCUGACCACGCAGGUGCCCAGGGACCCAUGGCCCUGGGAGCAGAGCAGGCAGGAGACGUACCACCACCACAGGGCUCCAGAGACCCCCACUGAUUGUGGUUUAUGCUGCACGACAUGGCCCAGUGUGAGCGCAGGAGGGGGCGUCCAGACUUGGUGCCCCGAAACCAAGCCCUGUUCUUCCCUCUCUCAACUCUGUUUCCUCCUAAAAGCACUGUUGUCCAGAUGCAGGGCUCAUGCCUGUAAUCCCAGCUACUCUACUCGAAAGGCUGAGGCAGGAGGAUCCCUUGAGUCCAGGAGUUUGAGACUAGCCUGGGCAACACAGCGAGAUCCCCUUCUCUACAAAAAAUAAACAGUUAGCCGGGUGGAGUGGUGCACGCCUGUGGUCUCAGCUACUUGGGAGGCUGAGGUGGGAGGAUUGCUUGAGCCCAGGAGGUUGAGGCUGCAGUGAGCUGUGAUGGCACCACUGCACUCCAGCCUGGGUGACAGAGCAGGACCCUGUCUCAAAAACAAUAAUAAUAAUAAUUAAUAAUAAAAGUGGCCGGGCG
rnacentral:lncRNA from 10 species